AUGGCCUCGCUGACCAUGCUCGUGUCAUGGACCAUAUGGAAUGAAAGAAAUGCUCGGGUUUUCCGGCAUAAGAGCGCACCACUGCCAGUCUUGCUCACUACGAUCACUAACGAGGCAAAUCUUUGGGUCACCACCGGAGCAAAGAAACUAGGGUCUAUUAUUGUGUGUGAGUAA
rnacentral:rRNA from 1 species